UGGGGAAUAUUGCACAAUGGGCGAAAGCCUGAUGCAGCGACGCCGCGUGAGGGAUGACGGCCUUCGGGUUGUAAACCUCUUUCAGCAGGGAAGAAGCGAAAGUGACGGUACCUGCAGAAGAAGCGCCGGCUAACUACGUGCCAGCAGCCGCGGUAAUACGUAGGGCGCAAGCGUUGUCCGGAAUUAUUGGGCGUAAAGGGCUCGUAGGCGGUUAGUCGCGUCUGCUGUGAAAACUCGAGGCUCAACCUCGGGCUUGCAGUGGGUACGGGCUGACUAGAGUGCGGUAGGGGUGACUGGAAUUCCUGGUGUAGCGGUGGAAUGCGCAGAUAUCAGGAGGAACACCGAUGGCGAAGGCAGGUCACUGGGCCGCAACUGACGCUGAGGAGCGAAAGCAUGGGGAGCGAACAGGAUUAGAUACCCUGGUAGUCCAUGCCGUAAACGUUGGGCACUAGGUGUGGGGUCCAUUCCACGGAUUCCGUGCCGCAGCAAACGCAUUAAGUGCCCCGCCUGGGGAGUACGGCCGCAAGGCUAAAACUCAAAUGAAUUGAC
rnacentral:rRNA from 1 species